UGAUGAAGGAGAAGUCGUAACAAGGUUUCCGUAGGUGAACCUGCGGAAGGAUCAUUGUCGUAUCCCGGCCUUGCUCGGCACACUCGCGAACCGUCCCGUCCCGUCCUCGGUACGACGCCCCCGCGCGCGGCCGCGGCUGUGGUCGCGCGCCGCGGGAAGCCGACCGACGAACAGAACCUUCUCCGGCGCGGUCUGCGCCAAGGAACACCGACCGACGAGGACGCCCGCGCCGUGCUCGCUCCGUGCGCGGCCGCGCGGGCGCUCCCACGUACGAGACGAAAAAUCCUCUUAACGACUCCCGGCAACGGAUAUCUAGGCUCUCGCAUCGAUGAAGAACGUAGCGAAAUGCGAUACGUGGUGUGAAUUGCAGAAUCCCGUGAACCAUCGAAUCUUUGAACGCAAGUUGCGCCCGAGGCCGUCAGGCCGAGGGCACGCCUGCCUGGGCGUCACGCCCCGCGUCGCUCCCCCGUCCCGCCCCCCGCCCGCACGCGCGCACGCCACCGAGCGGCGCGCGCCGCGGCGGCGGCGGCGCCCGUGGGACGCGGAGAUUGGCCUACCGUGCUGCGGCGCGGCGGGCCGAAGUGCUCGAACCCUCCCCCGUGCGCGGGGUGAGAACACGGCGAGUGGUGGAUUGGAUCGGACCGACCGACUCAUCGUCGCUGUGCCCUUCUCGCCCCGCCGCCCGGCGGGUGGGAUCACGUAACCCAGCCGCGAGCGGCCGUUCGGAGGCGCCGCGCGCCGCCGACGCCCGCUCCGACCGCGACCCCAGGUCAGGCGGGGCCACCCGCUGAGUUUAAGCAUAUCAAUAAGCGGAGGAA
rnacentral:rRNA from 1 species